GUCCAUGUAUGUGUGUGUAUGAACAAAGAUAGCUUUUAGAUUCCUAGGUUACAGGUGGUGCAGAUACACUAAAGAUCAUGAAGCAUGAAGAAAUGUUCUGCAGACUUGCAAUCAUGAAGUCAUUCAGUGAUAUUUGAAAAACCUGCUACAGCUGAAUAAGAAUGAAGAUCAUCAGAAAGAUCCCAGAAUCUAGCUGAGAGAGAGCAACUGAGUGAACCAGAGACAGUGACUGCGGCUGAGACUGUUGGCAGGUACAAAUGAGGGACCUGGAAUCUGGAUCACAAGUGGCUGGAAUUCGAGAAGGCAGGAGACAGU
rnacentral:lncRNA from 1 species